GACGAACGCUGGCGGCGUGCUUAACACAUGCAAGUCGAACGCUGAAGCUCAGCUUGCUGGGUGGCUGCGUGGCGAACGGGUGAGUAACACGUGAGUAACCUGCCCUCUUCUUUGGGAUAACGCCCGUAAACGGGUGCUAAUACUUGCUAUUCACUGCUUCUCGCCUGGGGGUUGGUGGAAAGGUUUUUUCUGGUGGGGUGUGGGCUCGCGGCCUACCAGAUUUUUGGUGGGGUGUUGGCCUACCAAGGCUUUGACGGGUUGCCGGCCUGAGGGGGUGACCGGUCACGUUGGGAGUGGGGAACGGCCCAGACACCUGCGGGAGUCGGCAGUGGGGCAGAUUGCACAAAGGGCGAAAGCCUGAUGCGGCGACGGCGCGUAAGGGAUGGAGGCCUUAGGGUUGUAAACCUCUUUCGCUCAUGGGCAAGGCGCAGCAUGGGGUUGUAGUGAGGGUAGUGGGUAAAGAAGCGCCGGCUAACUACGUG
rnacentral:rRNA from 1 species